GAUGAACGCUAGCGACAGGCUUAACACAUGCAAGUCGAGGGGCAGCAUAAAAGUAGCAAUACUUUGGUGGCGACCGGCGCACGGGUGAGUAACGCGUAUGCAACCUACCUAUCAGAGGGGAAUAACCCGGCGAAAGUCGGCCUAAUACCGCAUAAAACAGGGGCACCGCAUGGUGAUAUUUGUUAAAGAAAUUCGCUGAUAGAUGGGCAUGCGUUCCAUUAGGUAGUUGGUGAGGUAACGGCUCACCAAGCCGACGAUGGAUAGGGGAACUGAGAGGUUGGUCCCCCACACUGGUACUGAGACACGGACCAGACUCCUACGGGAGGCAGCAGUGAGGAAUACUGGUCAAUGGGCGAGAGCCUGAACCAGCCAAGUCGCGUGAAGGAAGAAGGAUCUAUGGUUCGUAAACUUCUUUUGCAGGGGAAUAAAGUGCAGGACGUGUCCUGUUUUGUAUGUACCCUGAGAAUAAGGAUCGGCUAACUCCGUGCCAGCAGCCGCAGUAAUAC
rnacentral:rRNA from 1 species